ensembl:lncRNA
GUCAAUUCCAUGCAUGAUGUUGAGCUUUAAAGGACACAGAAGCAGAUUAUGUAUUAUAAAAGUGAUCCAUAAAACUUUAGAUGCUAUCCCAACAAGCAAAAAAAUAAAUGGUUUCAUAUUUGUUUAAAUAUUAUAGGCUAAUGUAAUUUUUUUUUUAUUUAUUUAAUCAAUGUUUAUUAUGAAAGUGAGCAUGCAGCAUGAGAAAGAUAUGAUACAUCAUGCUCAAUAGCCUAUGAGACAUGGAGUAGGUAAGACAUGAUUUUGACCACUUUAUUGAGUUUUGUUUUGUAGAAAGACUCUGUUUAAAAGAUUUUCGUUUUGUAUAAAUUGUAUCUUAAUUUUGAUCAAUAUUUUAUCAACCCAUUGCCUGUAUUUAAUAAACAAGCAAAUAUAUUAGCAGACAAUGUAAUAAGGUGCCGGCACAUCACUUGUAUUGCACGUGAACUGGAGGGCGCAGAAACUCAGCUUGUGCCUCACAGACAGUUUUGAGAAAUAUAGGCUAUCUAUUAUAGAAAAUGUCUACUUUUAAACGAAAAUAUUCAAAACGAAAAGAAAUAGGCUACUCUCUGAAUAUGUAGGCCUAAUCCAUAUGAAAUGUGCAUUUCUCUCUGGCGUUCAUGGCGAGUCCGCAUCGUCUUUGCAGCGACACAGAAAACACCAUUUUAUUAAUAAACAAUUAAAUGUCUCCUUGCUAUUUUUGACAAAUUCAUAAUCAUUUCUUCAGCCGGUUCUUUGUGGCAAAAUUAUGCAUGCGGUCGUGCGCUUGAGAGCGGCUAGUAAACGCCCAUUAUUCUGAUCGGAACAAAGCAUGACAAAUUCUACUGUCAGUCUUUGGCGAGGGUUCAGUCGCCGUUUCAUCGACGUUAUUGUUGACAUCCUUUGUUUGAGAAUAAUUCCCAUCACUCUUUUUACUUUUCUUAACUGUGUUACCCGAAAAAAAGUCCGAAAUACGUUUCUGCUGCUUAUUGCUAGCCAUGACCAAACAAGUGUGAGGUGACGGAAGCAUUCCUGAGGAUGCUAGGUUAGUCUUUUAUCAACGAAAUAUUAAAAUAAUUAAUCAUUAGUUUAUAUCUUAUACACUAUAUCUUAAUCUCACAUUAAACACAUUAUGUCUGUUUUUUUUUUCUUCACGUUUUUAAGUACAAUAUUAGGUUAGUCCACAGCCCCCCACCAGGGGGGGCUGAUGCUAUGACGGGGGGGAUAAAUGAAAAAAAAUUGCUGUUAUAUAUAUAUAUAUAUAUAUAAACAAAUGGCUUACUACACAGCACAAGCACAUUGACACAUGCUGAUUCUGCGGCCAAUGAGACUGCUUUCUCAAUAUUAACAUACAGUCUGGUUUAGUUCACUGUAAGCUGGUCCUGCAGUGUGCUAUCAGAAUUUCUCUGAAACCCUCCACCUCCCCCAGCUCCACCUGUCUAGAUCUGCUACAGGAUUUAUUUUCUGGCCAUACUGUAUCUUACAAGCAUUGUGUCUGUAUAUCUAUUGCCACGCUAAAACUAUUUAGAGAAUUGUCAUGAUUGAAAUAUAUUCACAUUGAAAAUGGCCAAAAAACUAUAUGUGGAAAUGUUAAGUAAACUUACUGAAAAUGUAAUAAUAUAAAAUAUUUUAAUAUCUAUAUUAUUUGGGGAAU